AGCCAGCGACCACAAACCCGCUCCGCCAGGAAAGAUGGCGAGGGUGAUAGCGGAGCUACCUGGGCUAACUGAAGGCAUGAGGUGCUGGUUUGGCUCUGGAGACCCUCCUCAAGGACAGGGAACCUCUGAGGAGUAGGCUUCAUCAUUUUCAGGGGACUGCUCGCCUCUUCUUUUUCCAGCUCUUUAACUCCUCUCCCUGACAGAUGAACAGAUAGCCGAGGGUUUUAAAUUCAUAAGUGUAAAGAUGUCAGUGAUUUGGACUCCAGAGAAGAACGGUGGGGGGAGGGAGCUGUGGGAUGAGGUAGUAGUUUGUAUAGUUUUGGGAUCACACCAGAUCUGGGAGAUAACUAUACAGCCUACUGUCUUUCUCACGGCGUCCAAACCAUCACCUGCAUGACAGAGACUGCCGGACACGUCCACGUCUUGUUUCCACAGUGACUGUAGCCUCUGCGGUGAACACUGCAUUUGUUUUAGUGGUUGUAUUCUGUGUUGCUGUUGACAAAUCAGACAUCAGUCAGAAGACAAUGCCUGUCAUGUUAGUUUCAAUAUCCCUGCUGCUAACAUGCAAAAACAAAGAAAAAAAAACACACACACAUAUUACUGCAGCUCAGUUGCA